UACAGAGGGUGCAAGCGUUAAUCGGAAUUACUGGGCGUAAAGGGUGCGUAGGUGGUUAGAUAAGUUAUCUGUAAAAUCCCUGGGCUUAACCUGGGCAGGUCAGAUAAGACUGUUUGACUCGAGUAUGGGAGAGGGUAGUGGAAUUUCCGGUGUAGCGGUGAAAUGCGUAGAGAUCGGAAGGAACACCAGUGGCGAAGGCGGCUACCUGGCCUAAUACUGACACUGAGGCACGAAAGCGUGGGGAGCAAACAGGG
rnacentral:rRNA from 1 species